rnacentral:rRNA from 1 species
CUACGGGCUGCUGCAGUGAGGAAUCUUCCACAAUGGGCGCAAGCCUGAUGGAGCGAUACCGCGUGAAGGAUGAAGGCCUAACGGUUGUAAACUUCUUUUCUGAAGGAGCAUAAUGAGAGUACUUCAGGAAUAAGGGACGGCUAAAUACGUGCCAGCAGCCGCGGUAAUACGUAUGUCUCGAGCGUUAUCCGGAAUUACUGGGUGUAAAGGGUUCGUAGGCGGAAUUGUAAGUCAGAUAUGAAAGACCGGAGCUCAACUCCGAGUUUGUGUUUGAAACUGUAAUUCUAGAAUCAGGGAGAGGUAAGCAGAAUUCUAAGUGUAGGGGUGCAAUCCGUAGAUACUUAGAGGAAUACCAAAAGCGAAGGCAGCUUACUGGAACUGUAUUGACGCUGAUGAACGAAAGCGUGGGGAGCGAAAAGGAUUAGAUACCCCCGUAGUC